rnacentral:rRNA from 1 species
GACGAACGCUGGCGGCGUGCUUAACACAUGCCAGUCGAACGGAAAGGCCCUGCUUUUGUGGGGUGCUCGAGUGGCGAACGGGUGAGUAACACGUGAGUAACCUGCCCUUGACUUUGGGAUAACUUCAGGAAACUGGGGCUAAUACCGGAUAGGAGCUCCUGCUGCAUGGUGGGGGUUGGAAAGUUUCGGCGGUUGGGGAUGGACUCGCGGCUUAUCAGCUUGUUGGUGGGGUAGUGGCUUACCAAGGCUUUGACGGGUAGCCGGCCUGAGAGGGUGACCGGCCACAUUGGGACUGAGAUACGGCCCAGACUCCUACGGGAGGCAGCAGUGGGGAAUAUUGCACAAUGGGCGGAAGCCUGAUGCAGCAACGCCGCGUGCGGGUUGACGGCCUUCGGGUUGUAAACCGCUUUCGCCUGUGACGAAGCGUGAGUGACGGUAAUGGGUAAAGAAGCACCGGCUAACUACGUG